UUUAGAAUCACAAAAUUAGAUGAUAUUUUGGUACAAUCAACAUAUAUAUUUUUUAAGACAAUAAAAUUUAAAAUUAUAUUUUACUUUUUUAAACUCUGUAUUAAAUUAAAAUUAUAACAAUAAAUCAAAUAUGGAGGAAACAAAUAGCCGCCUAAAAUGACAAAAGUGGUAUCUACUAUAUAGAAGAAUGACAAAAAUGUCACAGCCCAAAAAUCAAGGAUCAUAAUGACACUUGUCGCGGAAAACCUUAACAAGUAAGUCAAUCACCCAAACUAAUAUAAGGAGAAAACACCAAUAUCCAAGGCGAGGCUUCUAGAAUGAACCCGAACCACAAACAGAUAAUAAAAGUGGAGAAAUAAAACCAAGGACACCCUAGAAUAAUCUCAAAACUGGAUGUCACAGUGUAAGAACUAACUAGUAUAACUCGAGGUCAAAAAUAUACAAGAUAUCCAAAAAUAGGAACAAAACACUGUCUCUGAAUACAAAUAAAACAUAGUCUAGAUAAGAAAGGUAGAAGUAAGCUCCAGAUGCAUAGAUCAACCGCUACCUCGAAUGGGCUCCAAGUACUACAUGAAUCAACUAUCGAGAGGCGCACUCAAACGUGGAUCUGCACCAAAUGGACGCAGUAGGAGUGAGUACAGUCCACUUAUACUCAGUAGGUAUUAUAGGUCGACUGCAAAAAGUUGAAAAUAAAGCAUACAAAUACACACUAAGGGUACGUCACUGCAAUCAUAAAAUGUCCCAAAUGAUAGCCCACACAGUCUCCACUAACAAUUCUAUAAUAUUCAAAUAUACCAUAUGCUAAUCCAACAAGGAGACACAAGUAUACGGAUAUCUCACGUACAGGUAUGAAGAAAGUAAUACACAUGGACAAUUAUUAUAUCAAGGAUGAUACUACACAUAAGAAAAGCACAAGGUAUAUAAUAAAAGACAAUAAUGAUGAUGAUGAUGAUGUGAUGCAUGAGGUCAUCACACAACCUCAAUAUACACCUACCGAGUUGUGCUCCCAAGGUAGGACCCAUGGUGAGUUCAUGAAUCCAUAUACAAUCCAUCUACAAUAUCAUAUCUAUAUCUUCUCUCUGGCACAUCCAUUGGUAGAGGAUUUUAAAAAUGUCACAUUUUUUUUAGAAAAAGUCAGUGUUUUCAGUAUUUCCACGGUGGUACCAAUAUUUCAUGAAUCUAUAUGAUAUGAGGAUGUAAUGCUCACAACCAACCGCAAUGAGGAUUUCCACAUUCAACCAAUAUGUCAAGCACGUGAGCCAAAAUUCACUUAAUAUUCCAAACAUCCACGAAAUCCAACAAAGUUCAUAUGCCAAUAGAGUAAAAUACACCAAAAUGUAUCAUUAAUACCACAUUAGGUUUUUUCAUUAAAUAAGAUAUAACUAAUAUAACAUACACAAGGAUAAUAAUUUCAUAUGUCCCCCAUGGUCAUACAUAGCAAAUAAUAUCCCAAAAUCACCAAUUAACAAACAUAUUGCCCCCCUCCCCCGGGCACAACACUUAAUUAUAGUCAUUUUCAUGAUUAGUUUUCACACUCUUAACAUGAUUUUGUACCAAUGAUAACUAUUCAGCCAAGUCUAAAUAAAAUUAAGCCAUAACCUAUCUCGGAUGUCAAAAAUCGAUCCAAAGAGCCUUCAACCCAGAGCAUUUUCCUUACGAAUGAACCUGAAGUCGACUAAAACAUACAAAUACUGAAUUAACACAUCAAAAGAAAGUCAACGACACUCAUAUUGCCCACUUUUAAAUCUGGAUCAAAAUGAACCCCCAAAAUAAAUUUUCAAAAAAGAAGGAUAAAAUUAAAAUUUUUAUCCAAAAACAUAUUUCUCAAGGUUAAAGAAACUCUUAGGAGAAAAUCCAAGUAAAAUUGGAGUUUAAUUCGAAGAAAUGGAAGUUUGGGCCUUCUGAGCCAAAAUCCCUAAAUUUCACCUUUAAAACCAUAUUUAAAUAAGAUUUAAAUAAUAAAAUUGAAUAAGAGUAAUUAAAAUUAAAGUUUUGGAUCUUACCCAAGCUUAUAAAUGAAAGAAAAUGCUCAAAAUCCCAAACUCCAAGCGCCAAUUCUCAAAAAUGGUGUAAAAAUCGUGAAAAUUGAGUAUAUAAAUGACCCAGGCAUUACUUAUGUGAUCACCGAAUCUCUUAUGUGAUACUUCGCCUGUCAGCGGAUGUCGUGUAAGCGAUCCUCUUGUUGCUUAUGAGACAAUUGCAUACACGACAUAGUAGUCGCAUACGCGACACAGUAGUCGUGUAAGUGAUAGCUCGGCUGCUCAGCUGGGUCGCUUAAGCGCUUGGCUGCUCAAUUGGGUCACUUAAGCAACCAAAAUAUCGCUUAAGCGGGUGCACCAAUUGAAAACUUGGAGAAUAAUUCUCCGCAGAUCCCUCGGGAUUCAUCCGAAAUCUCAAGAACAUAAACAGACUAUGCUACCCUAUUAAAUUUGAUGCUCCAGACUCAUUGGGGAUAUCAGAUUUUUGAAAAGACAUUAUUUCUUACAGAGUUGAUCCCGAAAAUCCAAUUUUACAACUUUUUGAAUCGAGGGUCAAAAUGAGAUAUAAAAGUCAUAAAACUACACCAAUCAUGCUACUAACCUAAAAUGACGUUUCAAAUCUGUUGGCACAGUCUGUUUCUCCAUACAACAUACAAAUCAAUAAAUAUUGACCAAAGUCAACUAUAAGGCUUUUCAAGCCACCAAAAAACACAAACUCGCACAAAUCACAUCAAAAUGCAUUGAGAAUUGUUUCAGUCAUCCCCACACCCCAAAAAUACCAUAAUACAAAUACGAGGAGGGGUAAAAUAGUCAAAUCAUAUAAAAAUAAAUAUUUCAUCUAAAUUACCAAUGGUCAGGUUAUUACAUCAUCCAUCAUUAAGAAUCUAGUUCAUCCCUAAACUAAAGGGAAGGAAAAAUACCUAAAUCUGCAAAAAGUUGGGGAUAAUUACGACGCAUAUCGGACUCAACCUCCCAAGUAGCCUCAUCCAUAGUUUGAUGCCUCUACAGAACCUUAAACACUGAAAUAUUUCUAGAACGCAAUCGUCUAACAUCCUUGGCUAAAAUGGAGAUCAGCUUCUCAACAAAAGAUAAUCGCUUAUCUAACUGUAUUUAAUCCCAACGAAUGACAUGAGACUCGUCUGGAAUGUAAUGUUGAAGCAUUGAGACAUGAAAAAUUGGAUGAACAUAUGACAAAUUUGGGGGCAAUGCUAACUCAUAAGCCACAUCCCCAAUAGUCUGAAGAAUCUCAAACAUCCCAAUAUACCUGAGGCUAAGUUUUCCCCUCUUCCCAAACCUUAACACACCCUUUAUGGGCGAAAUAUGAAGAAAUAUAUGAUCACUAAUAAUGAAUAUCACUGCACAAAGUCUAUGAUCUGCAUAGCACUUUUGUCUGCUCUAAGCCGCUCGAAGUCUAUCUUGAAUGACCCAAACCCUAUCCAAGGACUCACAAAGUCCAUACCUCGUGGUCUAAUCUUCAAAAUAUCAAACCAACCAAUUAGAGAGUGACAAUGCCUACUAUACAAAGCCUCAAAUAGAGCCAUCUGGAUAUUGGAAUUGUAGCUAUCAUUAUAUACAAACUCUACCAAAGCUAGAUGCUGCUCCCACUGACCACCAAAGUCUAUUACACAUACGUUGAGCAUAUCCUCGAAAACCUAAAUAGUCUGCUUCUACUGACCGUCAGUAUGGGGGUGAAAAUUUAUACUAAGAUCAACUCGGGUAUCUAACUCCUCCUAAAAAGUCUUCCAAAAAUGAGAUGUGAACAAUGAACCUCAAUCUGAGAUGAUAGAUACUGGUACACCAUGAAGAUACACUAUCUCACGAAUAUAGAUACGUGUCAACCUAUCCACACUAAGAAAAACCUAUACCAAAAUGAAAUAAGCAGAUUUGUCCAAUCGAUCCACGAUGACUGAAAUACUAUCAGAAUCGCGAGAAGUACGAGGUAACCCAUUCAUGAAGUCUAUAGUGAUCCAUUCCUAUUUCCAUUUAGGAAUGUUAACCUCUGAAGCAAACCACCCAAUCUCGUUCACCUUCUAGCACCAUAAGAAAUGAGCUACAAAAUUUGUUGCAUUAUUCCUCAUACCACCCCACAAGUAAUGUUGUCUCAAAUAAUGAUACAUCUUAGUCACUCCUAAAUGAAUGGAAUACCUGGAAUAAUGAGUCUCCACCAAAAUCAGUCUAAUCCAAUCACCCUUCUUGGAACACAAACUCGACCUCUAAUCCUCAAAACACCAUCUGAAUCAAGCGAGGCUUCCUUAGCCUCACCACUCAACACCUUAUCCUAAAUUACUCUCAACUCAUCAUCACCAGACAGAUGUCAAAUCUGCUCCAUGAAAAAAGACUUAGCAUCCACAAAUGCCAAAACACACCCAGGUAUCGAAUAUCGAGCCUAACCAUCUGGUUAGCAAAAGAGUAAACAUCUAUGGCCAAAGGUCUCUCCUGAGUCAAACGAUGCGCCAAGCUACCUAUGUUAGUCGACUUUUGGCUCAAGAGAUCUGCAACCAUAUUAGCCUUGACCGGAUGAUAGAGAAUAGUCAAGUCAUAAUCCUUAAGCAACUCAAGACAAUCGUGCUGCCUCGUGUUUAGAUCUCGCUAGGUGAAGAAAUACUGGAGCCUACGAUGAUCCGAGAAAUCUCACAACAGAGUGCAUACAAGUAGUGCCUCCACAGCUUCAAAGAAAAAACAUAUGCACACAACUUUAAAUCAUGGGUAGGAUAAUUUCUCUCAUGGGGCUUCAACUGACUUGAAGCAUAGGUAAUCACCUUACCCUUUAACAUUAAUACAAUACCAAAACCAACACCUAAAGCAUUAUAGAAGACUGUAAAACCCACGCCAUCCUUGAGAAGGGUUAAGAUGGGAGUUGAAGUCAACAAAUCCUUAAGCUUUUGAAAGUUUGCCUCACAAACAUCAGACCAUUGGAAAGAAAUCUUCUUUUGAGUCAACUUGGUCAAUGGAGAUGUAAUAGAUGAAAAACCCUUAACAAAGCGUCGAUAGUAGCCUACUAACCCCACAAAACUCUAAAUCUCGGUAGGAGAAGUAGGCCUAACCCAAUCACAAACCAUUGCAAUCUUGAUUAGAUCAACCAUAAUACCCUUGUUGGUCACCACGUGAUCCAAGAAAAAGAUAGACUCCAACCAAAACUUAUACUUAGGGAACUUAGGAUACAACUUCUCAUCCCUCAAUAUCUGAAGCACAAUCCACAAAUGUUUUGCAUGAUUGGCCUUACACUUUGAAUAUACCAAGAUAUAAUCUAUAAAUACAAUAAUAAAGAAGUCGUGAUACGGUCAAAAUACCUAGUUCAUAAACUCCUUGAACAUGUCUAGGGCAUUGGUCAACCCAAAAGAACAUGACCAAGAACUCAUAAUGAUCGUACCGAGUUUGAAAAGAUGUCUUCGAAAUAUCCAAAUUUCUAACCUCAACUGGUGAUACCCGAACCUCAAAUCAAUCUUUAAAAACACCAAAGAACCCUAAAGCUGGUCAAAUAAAUCAUCAAUACGAGAAAGAGAAUACUUAUUGUUAAUAAUCACCUUGUUCAACUAUUGAUAAUCAAUAAAUAUUUGCAUUGACCCAUUAUUUUUCUUCACAAACAAGACAAGCGCACCCCAAGGUGAUACAUUCGGUAAGACAAAUCCCUUAUCAAAUAACUCCUACAAUUGAUCCUUCAAUUUCUUUAACUGCGUUAGAGCCAUCAAAUGAAAAAGAAUAGAAAUAGGCUGUGUGCCCGGCUCAAUAUCAAUAGCAAAUUUGAUAUCAUGAUCUGGAGUCAUACCAGGUAAAACCAUAGAAAAAUAUCCAUUAUUUCACACCGCUUUUUCGCUCGAAGGAUCAAAGAUUGAAAGAUUUUUUCAAUUAAAGUAACGAUAUUGAAUAGAGAUUAUUUUAUUUAUAGAGUCACCACUUGGAAUUUAGUUGUGGUGUUCCAAGUCACCUUAUUGAAUACCUAAUCAAAAGGAAAUGACUCUUUAUUUUUGUAUGCAAAAACAGAAGAUCGGGUAAGGAAUUCUGUGCUCGAGAGAAAGGUGUAAGGUACCCCUCAAGUCCCAUGGUUCUAACACAGUCGCUUUUAUUGACUUAUCCUUACUUAAACUAUUUUGAUAAAUUAUGUUAAGGCCUAAAAUUCACUCAUUUUAUUUUACCAAAAUAUCUGUCUACACCUCUUAUAUUAAAUCGGUGAAAGUUAAUUUUUGAAAAAUAUUUGCCAAGGUGAAUUAUUGCAUUCUUGAAUUUUUAAAUGUCUCGAAAAGAUGCGUACGCCUCAUUCUUAAUUGAGAUAAAAAUAUUAAACUUUCUUAAAACUUAUAUAGCGCUAAAGUCGUUGGUUAGUCUAUUAUAAAUUUGAGACAUCUAAACUUACCCUUUUAUUUUUAUCGUAUAGCGGGGUUUUUGAAUAACUUCAUAUCUGAAUCACCUUUCUUAAUUAAAUUAAUUAAUCGUGUCUUAAAAAUAUCAAUGUUUGAAUGCAAUUUUAUUUUUAAAAAUAUAACGUACAACUUGUGAUUACAGAAUGCUCCAUAUAAAUAAAGCCAACAGCGAAUCAAUUUAAAUGUAAAAAUUAUCAUAGAAUACAUUUUUUAUUCUCUUAACAAAAUAAUUUUAUUUAGGCCAAACCCACCGAUAGGACCUUAAACUUUUCUUGAAAAUUCACUUAGACCCCUCAACUAAGGCCUGUACCUAUCAGGCCCCUCAAGUGCUAAAAUUGGUACCUAUCAGGCACAAGAUACUGAUUUGAUAAGGAGAGUGUGUUACACUCUCCUUGGGUGCGUGAACAGUAGAUUAAAUAAUAUUUUAAUUUUUUAAUUAAAAAAAUUAUAUUUAAAUUAUUUUAUUAAUAUUAUUUUUAAGUAUUAUAAUUUCUUAAUUAAAAAAAAUAAAAAAAGCACCUCGCCCCCCCUUUCAUCAUCUUCUUCACCGCCCCCCCCCAGUCAUCAUCUUCUCUAGCCAUUUUCAAAUACAUUUUCCGGUGAGACUCACCGGUAAAUUAACUUCAAAAUUUUAAGAUUGUUUGAAAUUACAUGUUUAUGAACUUAAAUAACCCAAAUCUAAUAUAAUGGGGAAUCAUUUUCUUGCAAAAAAUGAAGAAAUUGGUAACCUUGAUGAAGAAAGUGUCAUGACAACUUUACUUUUUUUUUAAGUUCUGCAAGAAUAUUUUUUUUUCAAAGUUUUACUUUCUUUUUGCAUAAUAAUGGAGAAGAAGAAUGGAAAGNNNNNNNNNNNNNNNNNNNNNNNNNNNNNNNNNNNNNNNNNNNNNNNNNNNNNNNNNNNNNNNNNNNNNNNNNNNNNNNNNNNNNNNNNNNNNNNNNNNNNNNNNNNNNNNNNNNNNNNNNNNNNNNNNNNNNNNNNNNNNNNNGAGAAGAGAAUGAAAGGGGUGGCAUGGGGGGCGGGGUUUGAAGGGACUGGUGGAUUGGGGAGGCGGGUUGAAGGAAUAUUUUUAAAAAAAAUUAUAAUUAAUUUUUAAUAAUUACUGGACCCACAAUACCAAGUGUCAUCUUUUAAUUAGCCUUUCUAUCCACAUCAUCGUGUGUGUAUUACUCACACUUGAGAUUUAAGCUGAUUGGGCAAAAAAUGCCCAAUUGGAACCAAAUUGGGGGGAUUUAGGGUUUAAUAGGUAUAGACCUUAGUUUAGGAGCCUAAGUGAAUUUUAGGGACAAGAUUGAGGGGCUAUGGAUGGGUUUGACCUUUUAUUUAAAUUAAUGUAAUAAUGACAAUGGCAAAUUUUAUCCAGUAAAGUAGGCAUAACUAAGAAUACAUACUUAACCACAUAAUUUUAUUUUAUGUCUUCUUUCCUCCAUCAUCUUCCUUUAUUGUACUAGUUACAAAAUAUCAACAAUAACAUACCCAGUGUAUUUCCACCUAGUAGGGUCUGGGGAGGGUAGAGUGUACGCAGACCAUACCACUACCUCAAGAGAAGUAGAGAGGUUUUUUUCGAUAGACCCCCGACUUAGGACUACAAAAUAUCAAAGUCAAUAUCCAUUGCUAUUAUUAGUGGAGGAUCUUUUGGAGAUCUUUAUUUUACAAAAUAUCAAAGUCAAUAAAAUAAAGAUAUCCAAAAGAUCCUCCACUAAUAAUAGCUAUGGAAAUUUCAUCUUUUUUUCCAUAACGAUCAAAAUCAAGAAAAGGAAUUUUUCCUUUUUUAAAAAAAAUUGUAAAGCAAAAAUUCAAAUUUGGGAAGAGGAAAAGUUGAUGGCUAUUGUUGGCAUUCGUCGGCGGCAGGUGGAAAUUCCGAUGAGAGCUGGCCAAAAUUGACUCGAAAAUGGGUCAUUUUUUACGGGGGUCAGCCGGAGAAUAGCCUUCCCGGUCAGAUUUGUUACAAAUAAGGAAGAGGGGGUGGCGCGAUGGCCAUGGCUCGCCGUUGGCCAGAGAUAGAGGAGGGACGGUGGUGGCCAGAUCUGGCCGACAUUGAGAGAAGAGAAGAAGGAGCGAUGCAGCGGCAGGUGCACCUGGAUCACCGAUUUUGGCAGUUUUGCCAUCGUUGGUGGUUCCCGGUGAUUUUUGUGGUAGAUCAGUGCUGGAAGAUCUGGUGGUGCUCAUCGGGUGUCGAUAAUUUCUGACAAGAUUCCGACUAAACUCAACGGGACUCGCCGAAAUUCGAAUCAUAUUUGCUGACUGUUAUUUUCUUUUCCUCUCUCGAAUUUUUCUCACUCUCAAACAUCAUUUUUUAGUUCAUUGAUUUUACUCUAUUUUUAUCGAUUCAUCUCGAUUUUUUUACUGAUUGUGAUUGUUUCGGCAUGUGCACUAGUAUGUGAUAAUGUGCAAGCGUAUCUAGAGUGGGUGUUCAGCAAUUUGGUUCGGUUUCGAGUUUUUUAAUUCGAUUUUUGGUUAUUGUAAUAGGUGUACCGAAAAUCGAGUAGAAUUUAUUCGGUUUGGUUUAUUUCAGUUCGGUUUGAUUAUGUUUCACUUUAAUCAUUUUGGUUUUUCGGUUUUGACCCUGUUUAAUGGGCUAAAUUAAAUUUGUAAAUUCUAGUAUUUUUUAAGAUUAAAAAUUAAUUGGACUAUAUAAAAUUAAGGAAAAAAUACAUAAAGUAGCAUACUUAAGUAUUAAAUUAUAAAAAAUAACAACACUUUUAUCAAAUUACAUUUUGUAGCAUAUGUAUUUGUAUGUAUUUGUAUUUUUGUAGCAACAGUUUGCAAAAAUACAAAAUACAAUUUGCUAUAUUAUGUAAUUAUGAAACUGUUGCUAUGAAAUUUAUAAUUAAGGGGAUAAGUAUUCUAUUUCUAAAUUUUUUCCUAAAAUUAAUUGCCAAAACCUUUUUUACACAAAAAAAAAAAACACUAGCCCAGUUUUCUGUUUUCACUUUUCAGACCAAAUUAAGAUGAUACAAAUACACUAAUAAAGCAUUAAAUUAUUAAAAUUUAAAGGUAAUUUUAUUGAACUUGCAGCCCCUUGCUUAAUGCUUCAUCUAUUGCAGAUUGUUACAUUAUAUUGUCAUGUUUGAGAAUUAUUUUUUUCCAUAAUAUGAAAAGACAUGGUGCACUUUUUCUAGUUUGGAAAGUGACAAUGUCCAUUUAAAAAUAUAAAAAAUCAAACUAUAUAUUAUGUUUUUUUGUCUCUAACUUAAUACGAACUUAGAAAAAUAUAUAGACUACACACUUGGCUGCAUGAUUACGAGUCAUCUUUAUCACUUUUUAUGGUCAAACUGAUAUUAGACUACUAGUAUACUACACACUUGGAGACAAACAAAAUUUAGGAAUCCAAGAAUUUUGAGAUUUGAGAAUGUUAAAGUUAGACUAAUAUAGUGAUAACUAAUAAACUUGGGGGAAUCAACAUUCAGCAAUUGUGUUGUAGUACAGUAUUAAAUUAAUUGGGUUGUAUCCUGUAUAUUAAUAAUUCGGCUUAAACUGAAAACCGAAGUAUACAAAAUCAAAAACCCAACCGAAUACCAAAUUGUUAAAAAAAAAAUCGACACCGAACCAAAAAAUUGAAACCGAAAAAUUGAAUUAAUUCGAUUCGGUUCGAUUUUUUAGUUUUCGGUAUUUAUGCCCACCCCUAGGCAUAUUAGUGUAAAUUUUUCUCUAUUGUGUGUGUGUGGUGUUAUACAUCUGUGUGAUUCAUUGAUGAGGGUAUAUUAAUAUGAAUUUUCUUAUGUACAAAUAUAAAUAUCCAGUAAACUUAAUUGCAUAACACAUAAUAACAAAAGUUCACAUAAUUAAUUAAUUACACAUUAAAUAAUGCAAGAAAUCACUUGAACAUUUUCAUUCAAUCCUUUUUAGAAAAAUUAACAUAAAAUGGUUCAAGAUUGAAAAAGAACCGAUGAUUGCUUGAACUGGAUAAUAAAGCAAGAAACAAUCGUCCCCAGAAACUUCAAGUGAAAACUCUAAAAUCUUUUCUUUCUUUGUUUUUCUCUCUUUUCCUGUUUUUUUUUAACUCUGUGUUUUUCUUCACUCUGGUUUGUAGUAUCUGAUUAUGAUAGUGUAUAGUGCAGAAUGUAUGUUCGUUCUCCUUUUCUGGGAUUGAAAGAGUCCUUAAUUAAGUACAAGAACUCUUGGGGAGAAAGUUGGGCGAACAAUUACAAAUAAGGGGGAGGGAAUUUGAAUUUUAAAAUAAAAUUCUUUGUUUUUUUAAUCUAUUAAUAAUGAUAAAUAAAAAUACAGAAUAAAUAAAAAUAAAUAAAUAAGAUAAGAUAAGAUAAUAGAAUAAUAAUAAUAGUAAUAAAUAUAAAUAUAACUAAUUAAUUUUUAUAUUUAAAGAAAAUACAAUAAAAAUUAUAUAUAGCCUUACAUAAAUAUAAUUAAGAUAGUAUUAAAACAACUUAUUUCUUUAAAAUUUAAAAAUAAAUUUUUUUCUUUUAUAAUUUUUGUAUUAUUUUUAAAAUCAGAAUAAAAAUAAAAUAAAAUAUCUCAAAAUUAACUUUAUUUAGUUAUUUAUUUUUAACUAAAAAUUUAUUAAAAUAAAAUAAAAAUUUAAAUAAUAUUAGACCAAAUAUAAAUAUUUAAUAUCGAAAAAUAAAUUAAAAUUCGAGGAAGAUCAAAAAUCACGUGUUUACAUUUUUGCCCCUCUUUGUAUGGAAUCUCGAAGACUUUUUAUAUAAAAAAGUAGACAAGAUAUGAUUUUUGACCCUCUAAUUAUUUGAAAGGUAAGGAUAAAAUAAAAUUAAAAGAAAAGAAAAAAUAUGACCGAGUCCUGAUUUUGGACCUCCUACCUAUCCCGCGUUAUAAGAGAAUUAGGUCACGAGCAGCUCAAAAGUAACAUGGUGAGAGAAUGAGUUAGUCAUCGAGUGAGAUUCCGUCGAGUUUUUGGUAAACGACUUCUGCUUUUUUACAUUCAAAUUACUAACAAAAAUAAAAAAAUGAAAAUAGAAAUGCAAAAUGCAAUUUCUCUGAAAUUUUGAUUCGAAUUUUCAUGACUUGAACUUGAAAAUUCACCCUAUUCUUCAAGCGGGCUCCUGGCUUGCUUUUUUCUCUUCACCCUGUUCUUCAGGCGGGCUCCUAAUUUGUUACUUCUUUACCCUGUUCUUCAGGCGGGAUCCUGACUUGUUAUUUCUUCACCUGACAGUGUUCACCCUAUCCUUCAGGCAGACUCCUAGACUUACAUUUUCUUCACCCUGCUCUUUAGGCGGGCUCCGAAACUUCCUUUUCCUUCACCCUGUUCUUUAGGAGGGCUUCUGGACUUACUUUUCCUUCGCCCUAUUCUUCAGGCGGGCUCCUGGAUUUACUUUUCCUUCACCCUGUUCUUUCGGUGGACUCUUGAACUUACUUUUCCUUCACCCUGUUCUUCAGACGGGCUCCUGGACUUACUUUUUCUUCACUUUAUUCUUCAGGCGGGCUCCUGACUUGCUAUUUUUUAUUUUUCAAAUAUGUUCCUAAAAUCAAAAUAAAAGGUGAAACAAAAAAAUAAUAUCUCAUUCUUCAGGAGGGUCCUGAGCAUAAAAAUAAAUUUCAAUAAACACGAACAAAAUUUUUUGCCCCAAUUUGCAUUAGAAAAUUUUUAUGAGCGACAUCAGAUCACAAUUUUUGAAAAGUGUAGUAAAGAGUGUAAAUCAAAGCCCUGUUAAAGAAAUGCGUCUCUUCAGAGUAAAACUGAUGACCAAAAUUAGAAAGUGCAUCUCCUAACACAUGAAUCUUAAAUCAACUAGAUAAGGAAGUAUGUCUCUUAGGGGUUAAAUAAAAUGACUCAAAUAAAAAGUACAUCUACAUCUUCUAGAAAUCAAAGGAAAUGAAUCGACUAAAAGGUACGUCUUAUAGGAAUCAAGAAGAAUAACUUGACUAAAAGGUACAUCUUAUAGGAAUCAAGGGGGAUGACUCGACUAAAAGGUACGUCUUAUAGAAAUCAAGGGGAAUGACUCGACUAAAAGGUACGUCUUAUAGGAAUCAAGGGGAAUGACUCUACUAAAAGUACAUCUUAUAGGAAUCAAGGAAAAUGACUUAACUAAAAUGUACGUCUUACAGGAAUCAAGGGGAAUGACGAGACCAAAAGUUACAUCUUAUAGAAAUUAAGGGAAUGACUCGACUAAAAGUACGUCUUACAGAAAUCAAGGGAAAUGACUUGACUAAAAGGUACGUCUUAUAGGAAUCAAGGGGAAUGACUCGACUAAAAGGUACGUCUUAUAGGAAUCAAGGGGAAUGACUCAACUAAAAGGUACAUCUUAUAAGAAUCAAGGGGAAUGACUCAACUAAAAGGUACGUCUUAUAGGAGUCAAGGGGAAUAACUCGACUAAAAGGUACGUCUUAUAGGAAUCAAGGGUAAAUGACUCGACUAAAAGGUACAUCUUAUAGGAAUCAAUGGGAAUGACUCAAAUAAAAGAUACGUCUUACAGGAAUUAAGGAGAAUGACUCGACUAAAAGGUACGCCUUAUAGGAAUCAAAGGGAAUGACUAGACUAAAAGGUACAUCUUAUAGGAAUCAAGGAAAAUGACUCGACUAAAAUAUACGUCUUAUAGAAAUCAAGGGAAAUGACGAGACCAAAAGUUACAUCUUAUAGAAAUCAAGGGAAAUGACGAGACCAAAAGUUACAUCUUAUAGAAAUCAAGGGAAUAACUAGACUAAAAGUAUGUCUUAUAGAAAUCAAGGGAAAUGACUUGACUAAAAGGUACGUCUUAUAGGAAUCAAGGUGAAUGACUCGACUAAAAGGUACGUCUUAUAGGAAUCAAGGGGAAUGACUCAACUAAAAGGUACAUCUUAUAAGAAUCAAGGGGAAUGACUCAACUAAAAGGUACGUCUUAUAGGAGUCAAGGGGAAUAACUCGACUAAAAGGUACGUCUUAUAGGAAUCAAGGGUAAAUGACUCGACUAAAAGGUACAUCUUAUAGGAAUCAAUGGGAAUGACUCAAAUAAAAGAUACGUCUUACAGGAAUUAAGGAGAAUGACUCGACUAAAAGGUACGCCUUAUAAGAAUCAAAGAGAAUGACUCGACUAAAAGGUACGUCUUAUAGGAAUCAAAGGGAUGACUCGACUAAAAGGUACGUAUUAUAUGAAUCAAGGGGAAUGAAUCGACUAAAAGGUAGGUCUUCUAGGAAUCAAGGUUCAAUUUAAGAAGUAUAUCACCUAGCAAUUGAAAACUGAAAUACCUGGACAUAGAAGUAUGCCUCUAAGAGACAUAGGAUGAUGAAUUUUUAUCAUAAUUUGAUUAUCAAACCAGUGCAACAAUAUUGCUUCCUGCAUUUAUGGAAAUGAGGCAUUGCAACCCUUGAUAUUUAUGCUCUGAAGUUCUUAAUUUGAAGGCAACAUGUUUCCUGUUUUAUCAAACAAAACUUGUGAGUUAAAAAACAUGGUGGAAGGUUUGUGGCUUUAGCUUCCGUGGCAAUCAUUCUUGCCCUCGUCAUAUUUAACCUUGCUUUCCAUUAUUAUCAUCUGUCACCGACUUGCUGCAUCAUUAACCCAAACUCAGAUUAUUAGAAAUAGCUCUGAAUAGUAUCUCUUCUUUGACAUGCUCCCCAAUUAAACCCUUUGAACCUUGGUAUUUCCAUGAGUUUCCAGACUUGUCUAUUGACAAAACUUUCUGCAUAGCCUUAUUUCAGCUCACAAUCAUGUCUCUUUCAUGUACUGUCUUUUUGUCUUACUUUGUGCAAUUGAAAAAGUUGGUAGCUAAUUUGAAAUCUUUUCUCACUUGUUAUGACACGGGCUCAAUUCAAACACACGAGAAAAAUGACAAUGAUGAUUUUUUUGAAUAAAUGACUCAAGAAAACAAAGAUAUAAAAAAUAAAUAAAAGGAAAAUGAAUGUUCCCAUUUGAAACGAAGAAACAAAAAAUUCAUUUAAAAAUGACAGCCAACUCUAAUGAUUAUGUCAUGCAUUUUUUUUAUUAAACAGCCUGAUCUUUUCAUCCAAACUUUCCACCAAUUAUUGUUGAGUUAAUGGCCCUGAAACUUAGUUGUUCCUUAGGUCAAUUGCACUUAUAGAUCCUAUUCAGCUUGUGACAUCUGGAAGAGUUUUCGCCAAUAAGCCUUUCUCAUUUUCUUUCUCUCAGCUCACUAUUGAACUAUGGUGUUUGUGAGAAUUUUCACCAAUGAGAAUCUCUUAUUCUCAUUUUUUCAACUCACAAUCAUCUUACGGUGACCGUGAGGGUUUUUGCCAAUAAGACUCUCUCAUUUUAUUUUUCUCAACUCACCUUCGUCUUACGAUGCCCGUGAGGGUUUUCACCAAUAAGACUCUCUCAUUUUUAUUGUUUUCACAACUCAUUGUCACCUUAUGGUGCCCAAGAGGGUUUUCACCAAUAAUACUAUCUCAUUUUUUAUUGUUCUUACCCCCCUUUUUUUAUCGAUGAAGAAAAAUGAUGCCCGAAAUAUGAAACAUCAUAUACCCAUUACAUGAUUAGCCUUGACAUUCUCAAAGAUUGAUCAGAAGGUCUUUUUUUUAUUGUAACUUGGCUUUUGGAAAGGGUUAGAAAGAAAUGACGGCAUGAGGCUCAAAAAUUUACAUAACAUUGGGUGAAGCAUACAACUUUUGGAAUUGACUCUUUAAGUAAAUAAACUUUUAUCCCAGUUUUAUUUCAUUCUGGGUAACUUGAAUUUUUUUACUUGAUUGUGCCUAACCCCAAAGUAGGGCUGCCUACGUAUCUUGUCAUGGUAAAAAUCAAGUCAAACGUAGUUCAGACAACUUAUUCUUUUUCUUAAUUCUGUUUUUUCAGUUGUUAUUGGCUCUUUUUCUCUUUCCUUUCUUUUUUCCACAUUUUCCUUCACUUUUUUUUAAACUUUUUUGACUCUAGUGUUUGGCUUGACACUUUUUCUUUUGAGCUUUGCUGACUCUAUCUUGAUUCCAAAAGAGGGGUAUGAAAGAAAAUAACAUUGAAGCUCAAAUGAGGUAAACAAAGGAUGACACAAUGGAUAGCAGAAUAAAAUGCCUUCGUCAUAUCAAUCCUUGAAAAUGCAAGUACAUAACAUGCAAAAUGAAAGUGGGAGAUGAAGAUUUGUGUAACACUUUAACAACACUAACAUUAACUGAGCAUGUGUGCCACUUCUUCUUUUACACUUGUCAAAUCUACAACUCCACCUUUAUUGUACAUCCCUCAUAUCGAAUGACUCAUGCUUUCAUGGAGCUAAUUAUCUUACUAUUUCUCUUUAAUAAAGAUCUCACAUCCAUUAUUUGACCUAAUUGAGAUAUGUCUUUCAAUUGAUGACUAAGUUAUUCUUGUGAUUCUCAAAAUAAUUGCCUUAAUUUUCAAAGAAGGCUUCAACAUGGUCACCAAAUGUCUUAACAUUCUACCUAUUUCUCAUAUGUCAUUUUCUUCUAAUUUUAGCCCUUUAAUUCAAUGUUUCAUGAACUGGAUUUUAAGAUCUGGCUGAAAAUUCCGCUGGCAUGUCAUAGCAUUAGAAUCAACAUAAAAUGAAUUGCAUGAGAAAAAUAUAAACAAACAAAUUUAAAAUAAGACAAAACAACAAGGGACAACAUAUUUCAUUGAAAGGAAAAAUAUAAGGGUUUAAAUAAAGACGACAAAGAAACAAAACAAGAUAGAUUUAGAACUAUAACCUUGAAAUAAUUCAGAAAAUAGAAAGGAAAGCAAAACAAACUACUAAACAUUCAUCCUAACGAGGAGAGGAGUGACUUCCCAAUUGGUGUGAAGUUAUCUCUCGACUUCUAGCUCAUUUCAUUAUUUAGCUUGGAUCAAAAAUCGAGCCUAGAAGGGCUUUAGUUUGUUUGUGGAGUUAGAGGAUGACUCUGAGGGGUUGGUGCAUGCCAUUAUGGGUAAGACAGAGGUUGAACAUAUGGUUGUGCUUUAUAUACUUGAUAUGGAGGUAGGGGAAAAGAGUAUAAUGGAUUUAAGGAGUGAUUAUAUGGAGCUUAGGCAUGAACUUGGGUUUGAGACUGAGGGUAACGGUGAUGUGGUCUUCUUCGACGUGCACGUUGUUCAGCUACAAUAGUAGCUACAUCUUCCUCAUUCUUCUUCCCUCCAUCAUUUCCUGAACCCUUCUGAAUUGCUUGAGUAGUUGCUUUUAAUAUUGCAAAACUCACAAUGCGACCAGUCUUCAUUCCAUCCUAUAUCAUCUCUCCCAUUCGUAGGACCUCAAUAAAUGGAUUACUUAAUGCAGGUAACAGGUGUUGAUAGUAUGUUUCAUCCUGCAUUUGAAUAAACACUUCCACUAUCUUGCUUUCUAUCAUUGGCAGUUUCACCCUUGCAGCUUGUUCAUGCCAUCUAAUUGCAUACUCCUUGAAAUUUUUAUUGUUGUUCUUCUUUAUAUUAGUCAGGUAUUUCUCUUCAGGAAUCGGCUCCACAUUAUAUUGAAAUUGUUAUACGAAUUUGUUAGCCAAGUUAUCCCAACUACUCCACUUGUCAAUGUCCUGAUCCACAAACUACUCUGAGGCUAGACUCGAAAGUCUCUCACCGAAAUAAGCCAUGAGUAAUUCUUAUUUACCUCUGGCACCUCUUAAUUGGUUAUAAUAAUGCCUCAAGUAUGCUACUGGAUCACUGUGCCCUUCGUACUUGUCAAACUUUGGCAUUUUGAACCCUAGCGGCAAAUGAACAUCAGGAAACAUACAUAAAUCUUUGUAUGAGACACUUUUUGGUCCUCCUAAUUCUUGCAUAUUUUUCAUACUCUACUCUAGGCUUCUCAUUUUCCUGGCCAGCUCUUCCUGUUCUUGACUUUUAACAAUCUUCUCAAUCAUGAUAGUAGAAUCACGUUGAUGAGCAUGAUAAUGUAGAUUUGGGGAUUUGAAAGUCAUUUCAGGAGGAUACAAUUGAUCAUGACUUGGUUCACCCAUAUUCUUUUGUACUGUCAAUUGAGGACCCGCAGUAGCUGGUGCUACAGGAGUGAAAAGCGGGUUGUUUGUGACAGAUGGUUUAAUGGGUGCAUGGUAGAAGUACCAGUAGCGCCAGACACAUUAGCAUAUGGGCUGAAUCCAGGUAGGUAAAAUGGAUCGCUAAUUUGAGCUUGAGCAGAAUUUGGAUCAUUCGUAUUAGAAAAUCUAGGGAUUGAGAAAGGAGGGGCUUGUCCAUUCGACCAAGCUUGGUACAUCUCCUCUAUCUGCUGUUUUAAUAACUUAUUUUCUUCUAUUGAUGCUAAUUCUUGUGAAAUCAACUGAUUUUGCUCUUCCUCACUGUUAGACCCUACACCUUCUUUGCAGGUCAUCUUUUUUUUUUCUUUGAACCUCUAUGGCAUGGAUUGAGAAGCCAACUUAGCCACAAACCAACCACCUUAAUACUAUUUUGAUUUUGGAGAAAACUAGUGUGUCAGAGUUCAAUUUUUUUAAGACCACCGAAUCCCUAAAGGACUACCUAUGCAUCUCAUUAAGAUGAGAAUUAGGUGUGCGUAGUUCAUGAAAUAUAUGUCGUACAAAACUCAGCCUGAAGACCCCUAAAGGUUCAGGGCUAUUAAGCUUUAUAUAUAUAUAUUAUUUUGUAAAAGCUUAGUCUCAUGAUCCCUAAAGAUUCAGGACUAUUACGAUAUAUAAAAAUUGGACUUGAGGAUUAAAAAAAUAAUCAUGAAAGUAAUCAUAUCCUUAAAAUACUUUCCAAUAAAUCUAUGGAUGAUUUUUCAAAAGAUAGGGUUGUACCCCGAAAAGGAUUUUUUACGUAUCUUGCUAAAUAGUGAGAAUCAGACCCUCGUAGUUCAUGAAGACCUUAAAAACUAUAUAUAUUUUUUAAUUUCUUCAAAAAAUAAUUCAUUAAAUUUGAGGAUUAAAUACUCUCUUGUGUUUCACCAAGUUGCCUAAAGCCAGUCAACAAUCAAAUGACCUUCCAAAUAAAUGUCAAAGAGCACGUGGAAUGCACAUGUUGCUCAUUAUAAAGUGGUCACCUGUCCUAGACAAACCCGAACCCUGUACCAAGUCCCGCUAAGUCAAAUGCACAUGAGGCAAAUAAAGCGGAACCUAAUAGGGAUAACCAGAUUCUGAGUUUCAGUUCUUCUAAGUUUAGUCUAAUAAGGAUAGGUGUCUAGACUGGCUUACCAUAGAGGACACUCGAGUCGGGGAGGGACAAAUUGCUCGGUAGCAGUGCUACUUCGCUUUCGUUGUCGAUCCGAACCCCGCCUAACAUGUGUGACUUUAAUCUUUCACCAGGUGACUUGACACUACGGCUAUCUUAGAAAGAUAGUAGGAUGCAUAUGCUGCAUUCCUUCUAUCUUAUUUUAGAAGACUCGGAGGGGGUACGUAAGAGAAGACAGUUUAUAAAUACAGUUCAAAAAUAUCAAAGCAGUAAAUGAGCGACAAGUAGCACAUAAGGCCAAUAAACACAAUAUCAAAAAUAAUUAAAGCAAGUAAAAGUCAACAUCAAAAACUCUAAUUCUUAUAUUUUCCCCAGUGGAGUCGUUAGAUAUGUCACACCCCUUUUUCGCUCGAAGGAUUGAAGAUCGAAGGAUUUUUCUAAUUGAAGUGACUAUACUGAAUAGAGAUUAUUUUAUUUAUAGAGUCACCACUUGAAAUUGAGUUGUGGUGUUUCAAGUCACCCUAUUGAAUCCUUAAUCAAAAGGAAAUGAUUUUUUAUUUUUGUUUGCGAAAACAGAAGAGGGUAAUGAAUUCUGUUGACCAAGAGGAAGGUGUGAGGCACCCCUCGAGUCCCGUGGUUCUAACACGGUCGCUUUUAUUGACUUAUUUUUACUUAAACUAUUUUGAUAAAUUAUGCUAAGGCCUAAAAUUUGCUCAUUUUAUUAUACUAAAAUAUCUGUCUACACCUCUUAUAUUAAAUCGGUGAAAGUUAAUUUUUAAAAAAUAUUUGCCAAGUGCAUUAUUGCAUCUUUGAAUUUUUAAAUGUCUCUGAAAGAUGCGUACGCCGCAUUCUUAAUGGAGAUAAAAAUAUUAAACUUGCUUAAAACUUAUCUAGUGUUAAAGUCGUUGGUUAGUCUAUUAUAAAUUCGAGACAUCUAAACUUACUCUUUUAUUUUUAUCGUAUAACGGGGUUUUUGAAUAACUUCAUAUCUAACUCACCUUUCUUAAUUAAAUUAAUUAAUCAUGUCUUAAAAAUAUCGAUGUCUAAAUGUAAUUUUAUUUUUAAAAAUCUAACGUGCAAGUUGUGAUUACAGAAUGCUCCAUAGAAAUAAAACCAACAACGAAUCAAUUUAAAUGUAAAAAUUAUCAUAAAAUAUAUUUUUUAUUCUCUUAUCAGGAUAAUUUUGUUUAAAUUAAUGUAAUAAUGACAGUAGCAAAUUUUAUGCAGUAAAGUAGGCCUAACUAACUAGCCGUUUGGCCAUGAAAAUUAUUUUUUUUCGGAAUUGGAGUUGGAGUUGGAGUUGAAGAUGAAGUUGGAGUUGUUUUUGGCCAUGUAUUUUUGAUUUUUUUUUUAACCUUUAAAAAAUCUUUUUUAAAUAUGAUUUUAUGCCCUCAACUUCUAAAAAUUAUCAAAAUCACCAACUACUAAUUUUCCUACUAACAUACAACCAAAUGUUGAGAAAAUAAUUUAUAUGACUUCAAUUGAUAAAAUAAUUAACAACAAACUAAUUAUUAUGAUUGUUAUUCUUCUAAAAUUUGAAUAAAAAUAUCACAAGCACGAGCUAAAUAAGUUUAUCUAACCAUAAUCGAUUAAAUAGAGAAAAAUAUAUUUUGAUAAAUAUGAUUGAUAGAUAUAAAUAUAUUUUAUAUAUUCUUAAAUUUUUUGAUGAAAAUUCUUAAGUAUUUUUACUUGAGUUAAUUAUUUUAUUGAAUUUGGUCUUUUUUAAAAAAUUACGAAAUAUAAUUAAUAAGAAGGGUUUGUGUAAAAAUUUAAAGAAUGGGGUUAUAUGUAAUAAUAAUGAAAGCUGAAAUUAGAAGUGGAAAAAAGAGAAAACAACAAAAAGUUGUUUUCCAUUUAUGGAAUUUUAUUCCGGAAUUUUUUUUUAAAAUUUCAUGACCAAACUCCAUAAUUUCUAACUCCAAAAAAAUUUUCCGCAAAAAAGAAAAAAAUAUCCAUGGCCAAAUGGGCCCUAAGAAUAUAUAUUUAACCACAUAAUUUUACUUUAUGUCUUCUUUACUCCAUCAUCUUCCUUUAUUGUACUACUUACAAAAUAUCAAAGUCCAUAAAAUAAAGAUCUCCAAAAGAUCCUUCACUAAAAAUAGCCAUGGAAAUUUUCAUCUCUUUCUCCAUAACGAUCAAAAUCAAGAAAAGAAAUUUUUCUUUUUUGAAAAAGAUGAAAUUGUAAAGCGAAAAUUUAAAUUUGGGAAGAGGAAAAAUUGGUGGCCGUUGUUGGCGUUCGCCGGCGGCUGGCAGUGAUUCUAGUGAGAGCUGGGCAAAAUUGACUCAAAAAUGGGUCAUUUUUUUACAGGGGUCGGUUGGAGAAUGGCCUUCCCAAUCAGAUCUGUUACAAAUAAGGAAGAGUUGAUGGCGCGAUGGACAUAGCUCGUCAUUGGCCAGAGAUGGAGGAGGGACGACGAUGGAAAGAUCUGGCCAACGUCAAGAGAAGAGGAGAAGGGGCGAUGCGGCGGUAAGGGUGCGCCUGGGUCGCCAAUUUUGGCAGUUUCGCCGUCGUUGGUGGUUCCUGGCGAUUUUCGUGGUAGAUCAGUGGCGGCAAAUCAGGUGGUGGAGGUCUUCGGGUGUCGAUAAUUUCCAGCAAGAUUCCGACUAAACUUAACGGGACUCACUGAAAUCCAAAUCAUAUUUGUUGGCUAUUAUUUUCUUUUCCUCUCUCAAAUUUUUCUCACUCUCAAACAUCAUUUUUCAGUUCACUGAUUUUACUCUAUUUUUAUCAAUUAUUCUUCUUGAUUUUUUUCACUAACUGUGACUAUUUCGAUAUGUGCACUGUUAUGUGAUAUUGUGCAGGCGUAUCAGUGUAAAUUUUUCUCUAUUGUGCGUGGUGUUAUACAUCUGUGUGAUUCAUUGAUGAGGGCAUAUUAAUACGAAUUUUCUUAUGUACAAAUAUAAAUGUCCAGUAAACUUAAUUGCAUAACACAUAAUAAUAAUAAAAGUUCACACAAUUAAUUAAUUACACAUAUUAAAUAAUGCAAGAAAUUACUUGAACAUCUUCAUUUAGUCAUUUUCAUAAAAAUUAACAUAAAAUGGUUUAAGAUUGAAAAAGAACCUGUGAUUGCUGAACUGGAUAAUAAAUAAAGCAAGAAACAAUUGUCCCCAGCAACAUCAAGCAAAAACUCUAAAAUCUUUUCUUUUCUCUCUUUUCCUGAUUUUUUUGAACUCUGUGUUUUUCUUCACUUUGGUUUGUAGUAUUUGAUGAUUAUAGUGUACAGUGCAGAAUGUACGUUCGUUCUCCUUUUCUGGGAUUGAAAGAGUCCUUAAGUACAGGAACUCUUAGGGAGGAAGUUUAGUGGGAACAGUUAGAUAAGGGGGUGAGAAUUUGAAUUUUAAAAUAAUUUUUUUAAAAAUUUAUUAAUAAUAAUAAAUAAAAAUAAAUAAAUAAAUAAGAUAAUAGAAUAAUAAUAAUAAUAAUAAAUAUAACUAAUUAAUUUUUAUAUUUUAAGAAAAUAUAAUAAAAAUCAUAAAUAGUUUUAAGUAAAUAUAAUUAAGAAAAAUAAAAUAAAAUAUCUCAAAAUUAACUUUAUUUAGUUAUUUAUUUUUUAACUAAAAAGUUAUUAAAAUAAAAUAAGAAUUUAAAUAAUAGCAGACCAAAUAUAAAUAUUUAAUAUCGAAAAAAUAAAUUAAAAUUCGAGGAGGAUAAAAAAUCACGUGUCUACACAUUAACUCACGAACAAUACGAACAAGAUCCAAAGAAGGAGGUAAAGCAACACUGGUAUCAUGAAUAUGAGCCAAAUAAGAAAAACAUCCCUUCUAAACCAAGCGACGAGCCUGAAUAUAAGAUAUAACUUUUCUGGGACCUGAAUGGAGCGCAUUUUUUCAAGCUAUCCUUGAGACACCUAGGUAGAGCUGAAUUCACGGUCUUAGCAUAAUAAUCUAGGACAACAUGGUAAGGAGC
rnacentral:lncRNA from 1 species